rnacentral:rRNA from 1 species
AAUAGAUACCCGGGUAGUCCACGCCGUAAACGAUGCUAACUCGUUUUUGGGCCUUUGGGUUCAGAGACUAAGCGAAAGUGAUAAGUUAGCCACCUGGGGAGUACGUUCGCAAGAAUGAAACUCAAAGGAAUUGACGGGGGCCCGCACAAGCGGUGGAUUAUGUGGUUUAAUUCGAUGAUACGCGAGGAACCUUACCAAGGCUUAAAUGGGAAAUGACAGGCUUAGAAAUAGGCUUUUCUUCGGACAUUUUUCAAGGUGCUGCAUGGUUGUCGUCAGCUCGUGCCGUGAGGUGUUAGGUUAAGUCCUGCAACGAGCGCAACCCCUGUCACUAGUUGCCAUCAUUAAGUUGGGGACUCUAGUGAGACUGCCUACGCAAGUAGAGAGGAAGGUGGGGAUGACGUCAAAUCAUCACGGCCCUUACGCCUUGGGCCACACACGUAAUACAAUGGCCAGUACAGAGGGCAGCUACACAGCGAUGUGAUGCAAAUCUCGAAAGCUGGUCUCAGUUCGGAUUGGAGUCUGCAACUCGACUCUA